AUGACUGCACAUUCCUCUUCAACACCUCAUCCACAAAAACAAAGUCAUUCAGCAUCUUUCCCUUGCAUCUGCCAUGGCCAGCGUGAGUUCUGGGUCGAGAGGUUGCCAUCAGGGAGAGGCGAGGGAGAGGCGAGCAUGGAAGCGGAAGCACAAGAGAUGUCCUGCCGCGCUGUGAGAGCAGCCGACAUGUCCCGCCUCGCGGAAGUAGCAGCACAGAGGUCCCGCCGCGCCGCUGAAGCAGCACGGAGGUCCCGCCGCGCCAUCGAUGCAGCAAACUGGUCCGGCCGCGCCACGGAAGCAGCAGAAAUGUCCCGCCACGCCACGAAUGCAGCAGAGAUGUCCCGCCGCGCCGCGGCGGCCUGGGAAAAUUUCUCGCGGGCAGGCGAUGACUGUUACAGGUGCAUGCAUGCGAUCGUUCAUAGCCAGAUGGAUCAGAUCUACGGCUCGGCGAGGUUGCAGGACAACAUGAUAGCCUCAUUUGAACAGGCUACCGGCAUCAUCCGGCAACUAAGGGAGGGUAAUGAGAGGCUUCGGGCCGAGCACGACCUGCUGAAGAAGAUCGUCUGA
rnacentral:rRNA from 1 species